UUUCAACUAUACCUCACUACACAGCUCAGAAAUGGCUUCCAAGAAUUUGCUUCUUCUCUUCGCCAUAGUCCUUAUCAUCUCUUCCGACGUCGUUUCAUCAGCUCGUACCGACCCUGCUGCUAUAGUGGCCGCCGAUGCUACAAAGGGUGUGGAAGUAGAAGGAUGGCAGCAUGAAGACCGCCACGGCCGCCGCCGCCGCCAUUGCCAUCACCACCACUGUGAUGAGGCUGGCGGAGAUGGACAUCACAAUUAGCUUCAGUUGAGAUGUUUGAGUAUACGUGUAUUGUAUUUGUAAGGAAUAAGGAGGCAUACCCUAAGCUCUGUUUGACUUCGAAAUAGGCACAUCUAUUAUGUUUGGUGUUGUCUUGUGUGUUUGUUUAUACUUGAUGUACUAAACUUCAUCGGAUUUUACGUAUAUCAAAACUUGUUUUUGCA